GAGAGGUAACGGCUCACCAAGGCAUCGACGGGUAGCUGGUCUGAGAGGAUGAUCAGCCACACUGGAACUGAGACACGGUCCAGACUCCUACGGGAGGCAGCAGUGGGGAAUCUUGCACAAUGGGCGAAAGCCUGAUGCAGCGAUGCCGCGUGCGGGAAGAAGGCCCUAGGGUUGUAAACCGCUUUCAGGAGGGAAGAAAAUGACGGUACCUCCAGAAGAAGGUGCGGCCAACUACGUGCCAGCAGCCGCGGUAACACGUAGGCACCAAGCGUUAUCCGGAUUUAUUGGGCGUAAAGAGCUCGUAGGCGGUUCGGUCAGUCGGGUGUGAAAACUUGAGGCUUAACCUCAAGAGGUCACUCGAUACUACUGUGACUAGAGUGCGGUAGGGGAGCGGGGAAUUCCUGGUGUAGCGGUGAAAUGCGCAGAUAUCAGGAGGAACACCAGUGGCGAAGGCGCCGCUCUGGGCCGUAACUGACGCUGAGGAGCGAAAGCAUGGGUAGCAAACAGGAUUAGAUACCCUGGUAGUCCAUGCCGUAAACGUUGGGCACUAGGUGUGGGCCUCAACCAACGAGAUCCGCGCCGUCGCUAACGCAUUAAGUG
rnacentral:rRNA from 1 species